GAUGAACGCUAGCGACAGGCCUAACACAUGCAAGUCGAGGGGCAGCACAUGAGUAGCAAUACGAUGGUGGCGACCGGCGCACGGGUGAGUAACACGUAUGCAACCUACCUGUAAGAGGGGAAUAACCCGGAGAAAUUCGGACUAAUACCGCAUAAUACUGAAUUACUGCAUGGUAAUUCAUUUAAACAUUUAUGGCUUACAGAUGGGCAUGCGUAUGAUUAGCUAGUUGGUGAGGUAACGGCUCACCAAGGCAACGAUCAUUAGGGGUUCUGAGAGGAAGGUCCCCCACACUGGUACUGAGACACGGACCAGACUCCUACGGGAGGCAGCAGUGAGGAAUAUUGGUCAAUGGGCGAGAGCCUGAACCAGCCAAGUCGCGUGAAGGAAGACGGUCCUAUGGAUUGUAAACUUCUUUUGUAAGGGAAUAAAAAGUGGUACGUGUACCAUAUUGUAUGUACUUUACGAAUAAGGAUCGGCUAACUCCGUGCCAGCAGCCGCCGCGGUAA
rnacentral:rRNA from 1 species